UAGGGAAUCUUCCGCAAUGGGCGAAAGCCUGACGGAGCAACGCCGCGUGAGUGAUGAAGGUCUUCGGAUCGUAAAACUCUGUUAUUAGGGAAGAACAAAUGUGUAAGUAACUAUGCACGUCUUGACGGUACCUAAUCAGAAAGCCACGGCUAACUACGUGCCAGCAGCCGCGGUAAUACGUAGGUGGCAAGCGUUAUCCGGAAUUAUUGGGCGUAAAGCGCGCGUAGGCGGUUUUUUAAGUCUGAUGUGAAAGCCCACGGCUCAAACGUGGAAGGUCAUUGGAACCUGGAAAACUUGAGUGCAGAAGAGGAAAGUGGAAUUCCAUGUGUAGCGGUGAAAUGCGCAGAGAUAUGGAGGAACACCAGUGGCGAAGGCGACUUUCUGGUCUGUAACUGACGCUGAUGUGAGAAAGCGUGGGGAUCAAACAGG
rnacentral:rRNA from 1 species